UACGUAGGGGGCAAGCGUUGUCCGGAUUUAUUGGGCGUAAAGAGCGUGUAGGCGGCUUUACAGGUCCGUUGUGAAAACUCGAGGCUCAACCUCGAGACGCCGGUGGAAACCGUAAAGCUAGAGUCCGGAAGAGGAGAGUGGAAUUCCUGGUGUAGCGGUGAAAUGCGUAGAUAUCGGGAGGAACACCUGUGGCGAAGGCGGCCCCCUGGUUGGAUACUGACGCUGAGACGCGAAAGCGUGGGGAGCAAACAGG
rnacentral:rRNA from 1 species